rnacentral:rRNA from 1 species
GUAACUCAGUAAUGAUCCCUCCGC